rnacentral:rRNA from 1 species
AGAGUUUGAUCAUGGCUCAGAGUGAACGCUGGCGGCAGGCCUAAUACAUGCAAGUCGAACGGCAGCACAGCAGAGCUUGCUCUGUGGGUGGCGAGUGGCGGACGGGUGAGGAAUACGUGGGAAUCUGCCCAGUCGUGGGGGAUAACGUAGGGAAACUUACGCUAAUACCGCAUGCGCCCUUCGGGGGAAAGCCGGGACCUUCGGGCCUGGCGCGAUUGGAUGAGCCCACGUCGGAUUAGCUAGUUGGCGGGGUAAAGGCCCACCAAGGCGACGAUCCGUAGCUGGUCUGAGAGGAUGAUCAGCCACACUGGAACUGAGACACGGUCCUGACUCCUACGGGAGGCAGCAGUAGGGAAUAUUGGACAAUGGGCGCAAGCCUGAUCCAGCCAUGCCGCGUGAGUGAAGAAGGCCCUCGGGUUGUAAAGCUCUUUUGUCCGGAAAGAAAAGCGCCGGGUUAAUACCCUGGUGUCCUGACGGUACCGGAAGAAUAAGCACCGGCUAACUUCGUG